AGAUGCCAGAGAGACUGAAAU
rnacentral:miRNA from 1 species